CUUUUGAGCUGUGCGUCGCUUUCGCACUUAUUAGUGUUGUCAAAAUCAAAACGAAAGAUUCGACUCAGGUCGAGGUCUUCCGUGCAGUAAGGUACUUUUAAGUUGUUUGGGGUAUACUCAAAAUUAGUUAAAUGGAAACUACCUUCAACCAAAGAGGAUAGGGAAAGAGACGAAUAGACUUUUCUACGGCUCAUGUACGUACACGCCACAUGACACAAACACUACAUUACAAGCUGGUGGAAAAUAAUAAACAAAGACGGCAAAAGUAAAUGGGAUUGUUUUCAACCAGGAAACUUCAUGAGUGUUCGUGAGACCAGUCGCAAAGAACUCAAUAGUGUGAAGCCUUAUUGAGCAGACCAAUCGUGCAAUGUAAAUAAACAUUACUCAUGCCUGAGUUAGAGGAGAUAAGUAUUGUACAUCUAUCAAAAAAGAAAUUUGAGUUUUCGUCAGAAUUUAGUUCAAUUGGGAUUGUAAGGUGCAUUCUAGAGUAUAUGUAUGAGUAAAAACAAGCUUUAAAAAUA